rnacentral:ncRNA from 1 species
UUAAGUGAAAAUGCUUAAAUAACUAAUCAGACGAUAAGACCCUAUAGAGCUUUAUAUAUGUAUCUGUUAAGUAUUAAAAUUUUUAUUAGUUAGUAACCAGGUUGUAUAUUUUAUUGGGGCAAUAAAAGAAUAAAAUUAACUUCUUAUUAAUAAAUUUUAUUUAAUUAAUUAACUUUUAGUAUAAAAUUUAAUGAGUUACCUUAUUUGAAGUUACCCUAUUUGAAGUUACCUUAGGGAUAACAGCGUUAUUAAAGUUGAGAGUUCUUAUCGACACUUUAGAUUGCGACCUCGAUGUUGAAUUAAAAAUUCUUUGAGGGGCAGCAUUUUUAUUAGAUGGUCUGUUCGACCAUUAAGUUUUUACAUGAUUUGAGUUCAAACCGGUGUGAGCCAGGUUGGUUUCUAUCUUUUAGUU